UGGGGAAUAUUGGACAAUGGGCGAAAGCCUGAUCCAGCCAUGCCGCGUGUGUGAAGAAGGUCUUCGGAUUGUAAAGCACUUUAAGUUGGGAGGAAGGGCAUUAACCUAAUACGUUAGUGUUUUGACGUUACCGACAGAAUAAGCACCGGCUAACUCUGUGCCAGCAGCCGCGGUAAUACAGAGGGUGCAAGCGUUAAUCGGAAUUACUGGGCGUAAAGCGCGCGUAGGUGGUUUGUUAAGUUGGAUGUGAAAUCCCCGGGCUCAACCUGGGAACUGCAUUCAAAACUGACUGACUAGAGUAUGGUAGAGGGUGGUGGAAUUUCCUGUGUAGCGGUGAAAUGCGUAGAUAUAGGAAGGAACACCAGUGGCGAAGGCGACCACCUGGACUAAUACUGACACUGAGGUGCGAAAGCGUGGAGCAAACA
rnacentral:rRNA from 1 species